rnacentral:rRNA from 1 species
CAAUGAAGUGCAAGACUGGAUAGGAAAUAAAAAGGCAUCUUUUUAUUUUUAAAAGACCUUUUUCGGAAGGUAUGCUUAAAGAGGGGCUUGCGUCACAUUAGUUAGUUGGCAGGGUAAAGGCCUACCAAGACUAUGAUGUGUAGCUGGACUGAGAGGUUGAACAGCCACAUUGGGACUGAGACACGGCCCAAACUCCUACGGGAGGCAGCAGUAGGGAAUUUUCGGCAAUGGAGGAAACUCUGACCGAGCAACGCCGCGUGAACGAUGAAGUAUUUCGGUAUGUAAAGUUCUUUUAUUGAAGAAGAAAAAAUAGUGGAAAAACUAUCUUGACGAUAUUCAAUGAAUAAGCCCCGGCAAACUAUGUGCCAGCAGCCGCGGUAAUACAUAGGGGGCGAGCGUUAUCCGGAAUUAUUGGGCGUAAAGGGUGCGUAGGCGGUUUAAUAAGUCUAUAGUUUAAUUUCAGUGCUUAACACUGUCCUGCUAUAGAAACUAUUAGACUAGAGUGAGAUAGAGGCAAGUGGAAUUCCAUGUGUAGCGGUGAAAUGCGUAAAUAUAUGGAGGAACACCAGAGGCGUAGGCGGCUUGCUGGGUCUUUACUGACACUGAGCACGAAAGCGUGUGGAGCAAACAAGAUUAGAUACCCUGGUAGUCCACGCCGUAAACGAUGAGUACUAAGUGUCGGGAUUACUCGGUACUGAAGUUAACACAUUAAGUACUCCGCCUGAGUAGUACGUACGCAAGUAUGAAACUUAAAGGAAUUGACGGGACUCCGCACAAGCGGUGGAUCAUGUUGUUUAAUUCGAAGAUACACGAAAAACCUUACCAGGUCUUGACAUACUCUGCAAAGCUAUAGCAAUAUAGUGGAGGUUAUCAGGGAUACAGGUGGUGCAUGGUUGUCGUCAGCUCGUGUCGUGAGAUGUUAGGUUAAGUCCUAAAACGAGCGCAACCCUUGUCAUUAGUUGCCAGCAUGUCAUGAUGGGCACUUUAAUGAGACUGCCAAUGAAAAAUUGGAGGAAGGUGAGGAUCACGUCAAAUCAUCAUGCCCCUUAUGAUCUGGGCUACAAACGUGAUACAAUGGCUGUUACAAAGAGUAGCUGAAACGCAAGUUUAUAGCCAAUCUCAUAAAAGCAGUCUCAGUUCGGAUUGAAGUCUGCAACUCGACUUCAUGAAGUUGGAAUCGCUAGUAAUCGCGAAUCAGCAUGUCGCGGUGAAUACGUUCUCGGGGUUUGUACACACCGCCCGUCA